CAGCUGCCGCGGUAAUACGUAGGUGGCAAGCGUUGUCCGGAAUUAUUGGGCGUAAAGGGCUCGCAGGCGGUUUCUUAAGUCUGAUGUGAAAGCCCCCGGCUCAACCGGGGAGGGUCAUUGGAAACUGGGAAACUUGAGUGCAGAAGAGGAGAGUGGAAUUCCACGUGUAGCGGUGAAAUGCGUAGAGAUGUGGAGGAACACCAGUGGCGAAGGCGACUCUCUGGUCUGUAACUGACGCUGAGGAGCGAAAGCGCGGGGAGCGAACAGGAUUAGAUACCCCAGUAGUCCCUGUCUCUUAUAC
rnacentral:rRNA from 1 species